rnacentral:miRNA from 1 species
UUCGUUGUUUUCGAAACCUGUGC